GGUGGCUCAGUGAUAGAGUGCUUGCCUUGCAUGCAUGAGGCCCUAGGUUCAAUUCCUCAGCACCA
rfam:Dipodomys ordii contig_10600, whole genome shotgun sequence.